AUCGAACGCUGGCGGCAGGCCUAACACAUGCAAGUCGAACGAGUGGCGGACGGGUGCGUAAUGUCUGGGAAUCUGUCCGCUGGAGGGGGGUAACUACUGGAAAUGGUAGCUAAUACCGCAUACCUCCGUAUGUGCCCAGAUGGGAUUAGCUAGUUGGUGGGGUAACGGCUCACCUGGGCGAAGAUCCCUAGCUGGUCUGACAGGAUGACGAGCAGAACGGGAACUGGGACACGGUCAGAACGCCUACGGGAGGCAGCAGUGGGGAAUAUUGGACAUUGGGCGAAAGCCUGCUGCAGCCAUGCCGCGUGUAUGAGAAAGGCCUUCGGGUUGUAAAGUACUUUCAGCGGGGAGACGUUACUCACAGAAGAAGCACCGGCUAACUCCGUGCCAGCAGCCGCGGUAAUUC
rnacentral:rRNA from 1 species